rnacentral:sRNA from 1 species
CUAAACCAAUAUAACUAAAAAAAAAAAAAUUUUUAAAAUAUUAAAAAAAUUAUAA